ACGGGUGAGUAACGCGUGGGAACGUGCCUUUCGGUUCGGAAUAACUCAGGGAAACUUGAGCUAAUACCGGAUACGCCCUUCGGGGGAAAGAUUUAUUGCCGAAAGAUCGGCCCGCGUCCGAUUAGUUAGUUGGUGAGGUAAUGGCUCACCAAGGCGACGAUCGGUAGCUGGUCUGAGAGGAUGAUCAGCCACACUGGGACUGAGACACGGCCCAGACUCCUACGGGAGGCAGCAGUGGGGAAUAUUGGACAAUGGGCGCAAGCCUGAUCCAGCCAUGCCGCGUGAGUGAUGAAGGCCCUAGGGUUGUAAAGCUCUUUCGCCAGGGACGAUAAUGACGGUACCUGGAUAAGAAGCCCCGGCUAACUUCGUGCCAGCAGCCGCGGUAAUACGAAGGGGGCUAGCGUUGUUCGGAAUCACUGGGCGUAAAGCGCACGUAGGCGGAUCUUUAAGUCAGGGGUGAAAUCCCGAGGCUCAACCUCGGAACUGCCUUUGAUACUGGAGGUCUAGAGUCCGGGAGAGGUGAGUGGAACUGCGAGU
rnacentral:rRNA from 1 species